rnacentral:rRNA from 1 species
UACGGAGGGUGCAAGCGUUGUCCGGAAUCACUGGGCGUAAAGAGCUCGUAGGCGGUUUGUCACGUCUGCUGUGAAAUCCCGAGGCUCAACCUCGGGCCUGCAGUGGGUACGGGCAGACUGGAGUGCGGUAGGGGAGAUCGGAAUUCCUGGUGUAGCGGUGAAAUGCGCAGAUAUCAGGAGGAACACCGGUGGCGAAGGCGGAUCUCUGGGCCUUACCUGACGCUCAGGCGCGAAAGCUAGGGGAGCGAACAGG